CGGUUCUUAUUUGCAAAGGCAUCCACAGUCUCACCAGCUAGUGAACUUGAGGCGGCUCUCUCAAACUGGGUAAGCUAACCGUAAAAGUUUGAACUAUUGAACCUUUAUAUUAUGGUUUUAAGACAGUUUAAGAACACUAGUUGAUGACAGUUUAAGAACGCUAGUUGAUCACUUACAUUUUACUUAUUUUGUGUUGGUCACUCAUUAACUUCAUUUUGUUCCAAGUUGGUAGUUAAAAUCAAUUUGUACUUCAUGUCUAUCUCGCAAAAAGAUUAAACUGCAUUCUCAAAGGAUAAAUUGGCUGGGUUUACUCCGUUUAUCCAGAAGUCAUUGUAAAAGUCAGAAUUCUUGCCUAGAGCACAAUUUAAUGAUUUGAAGAAUUCAUUCGUUGUGGAACUUGUGAAUAGAAAAAAUUAUGAUAUAUCUUACAUGAGAAUUGUCAUCAAUGAUGCAUCAGAAGAAAAAAAACAUUCUAUGGAGAAACUGAAAGAAAAAUG
rnacentral:lncRNA from 1 species